rnacentral:rRNA from 1 species
UACAGAGGGUGCGAGCGUUGUCCGGAAUCACUGGGCGUAAAGGGCGCGUAGGUGGCGACCCAAGUCUGUGGUGAAAGCUCGCCGCUUAACGGCGAGUCGGCCACGGAUACUGGGUGGCUCGAGCACUGUAGGGGCAGAUGGAAUUCCGGGUGUAGCGGUGGAAUGCGUAGAUAUCGCUUGGAACGCCGAAGGUGAAAACAGGUCGCUGGGGAUGUGCCG